rnacentral:rRNA from 1 species
CGAAAAGCUUCGGGGAGCUGUCAACCGAGCGUUGAUCCGGAGAUGUCCGAAUGGGGAAACCCAGCGCGGCGAAUAGCUGCGUUACUCUCAUCUGAAUUCAUAGGGUGAGAAGAGCGAACCAGGGGAAGUGAAACAUCUCAGUACCCUGAGGAAAAGAAAACAACGAGUGAUUCCCGUAGUAGUGGCGAGCGAACCGGGACCAGGCCAGUGCUGUCGUGACAUAAAGCUGAACGACUUGGAAAGGUCGGCCAUAGUGGGUGAUAGCCCCGUAAGCGUCAAAUAGCGACAGACUCGAGUAGGGCGGGACACGUGAAAUCCUGUCUGAACAUGGGGGGACCACCCUCCAAGCCUAAGUACUCCUCAAUGACCGAUAGCGAACAAGUACCGUGAGGGAAAGGUGAAAAGCACCCCGACAAGGGGAGUGAAACAGAUCCUGAAAUCGGAAGCCUACAAGCAGUCGGAGCCACCGCGCGUGGUGACGGCGUACCUUUUGUAUAAUGGGUCAGCGACUUCAUGUGCCGUGCAAGCUUAAGCCGUUAGGUGUAGGCGCAGCGAAAGCGAGUCUGAAUAGGGCGAAUAAGUACGUCGCAUGACGACCCGAAACCAGGUGAUCUAUCCAUGAGCAGGUUGAAGGUAGGGUAACACCUACUGGAGGACCGAACCGGUGCCUGUUGAAAAAGUCUCGGAUGACUUGUGGCUAGGGGUGAAAGGCCAAUCAAACCUGGACAUAGCUGGUUCUCCGCGAAAUCUAUUUAGGUAGAGCGUCAGACGAAUUCCUUGGGGGGUAGAGCACUGGAUGGAUGCGGGCGGCGCGAGCUGUACCAAUUCUAACCAAACUCCGAAUACCCAAGAGAACUAUCCGGCAGACACACGGCGGGUGCUAACGUCCGUCGUGAAAAGGGAAACAACCCUAACCAUCAUCUAAGGCCCCCAAGUUCUGGCUAAGUGGGAAACGAUGUGGGAUUGCUUUGACAACCAGGAUGUUGGCUUAGAAGCAGCCAUCAUUUAAAGAAAGCGUAACAGCUCACUGGUCAAGCGAUCCUGCGCGGAAAAUGUAACGGGGCUCAAGCCAGACGCCGAAGGUAUGGGUUUGCUCUAUGAGCAAGCGGUAGCGGAGCGUUCCGUAAGCCUGUGAAGGUCAAUCGUGAGGUUGGCUGGAGGUAUCGGAAGUGAGAAUGCUGACAUGAGUAGCGAUAAAGAGUGUGAGAGACACUCUCGCCGAAAGUCCAAGGGUUCCUGCGUAAAGCUAAUCUGCGCAGGGUUAGCCGGCCCCUAAGGCGAGGCCGAAAGGCGUAGUCGAUGGGAAUCAGGUGAAUAUUCCUGAACCAGUUGGAAGUGACGGAUCUGGUAAAUUGUUCGGGCUUAUUGGAUUGCUCCGGGCAGUGAACAGGUCCCUGGAAAUAACUCCAACGGAGACCGUACCCGAAACCGACACAGGUGGUCAGGUAGAGUAUACCAAGGCGCUUGAGAGAACUAUGUUGAAGGAACUCGGCAAAUUGCACGCGUAACUUCGGAAGAAGCGUGACCCCAUUUUACGCAAGUGAGAUGGGGUGGCACAGACCAGGGGGUAGCGACUGUUUAUCAAAAACACAGGGCUCUGCGAAGUCGCAAGACGACGUAUAGGGUCUGACGCCUGCCCGGUGCCGGAAGGUUAAGAGGAGAGGUGCAAGCUUUGAAUCGAAGCCCCGGUAAACGGCGGCCGUAACUAUAACGGUCCUAAGGUAGCGAAAUUCCUUGUCGGGUAAGUUCCGACCUGCACGAAUGGCGUAACGAUCUGGGCGCUGUCUCAGCCGUGAGCUCAGUGAAAUUGAAGUAGCGGUGAAGAUGCCGCUUACCCGCAACGGGACGGAAAGACCCCAUGAACCUUUACUAUAGCUUUACAUUGACUUUGGGUAAGGGAUGUGUAGGAUAGAUGGGAGACUAUGAAGCGGUGGCGCCAGCCAUCGUGGAGUCGACGUUGAAAUACCAUCCUUUCCUUAUCUGGAGUCUAACCCGCCCAAGGCGGGGGACAUUGCUUGGUGGGUAGUUUGACUGGGGUGGUCGCCUCCAAAAGAGUAACGGAGGCUUCUAAAGGUUCCCUCAGUACGCUUGGUAACCGUGCGUAGAGUGCAAUGGCAUAAGGGAGCUUGACUGAGAGACAUACAGGUCGAUCAGGUACGAAAGUAGAGCAUAGUGAUCCGGUGGUUCCGCAUGGAAGGGCCAUCGCUCAAAGGAUAAAAGGUACUCCGGGAUAACAGGCUGAUCUCCCCCAAGAGCUCAUAUCGACGGGGAGGUUUGGCACCUCGAUGUCGGCUCGUCACAUCCUGGGGCUGGAGAAGGUCCCAAGGGUUCGGCUGUUCGCCGAUUAAAGUGGCACGUGAACUGGGUUCAGAACGUCGCAAGACAGUUCGGUCCCUAUCUGUGAUGGGCGUUAGAAUAUUGAGUGGACAUGACCUUAGUACGAGAGGACCGGGUCGUACGGACCGCUGGUGUAUCUGUUGUGCCGCCAGGUGCAAUGCAGAGUAGCUACGUCCGGCCAGGAUAAACGCUGAAAGCAUCUAAGCGUGAAACCUUCCACGAGAUGAGUAUUCUUUUAAGGGUCGUCAAAGACGAUGACGUUGAUAGGCUACAGAUGUACAGAUGGUAACAUCAAAGUCGAGUAGUACUAAUUGCCCG